UUAUUGUAGGUCCAUUGUUAAGCAGGUGAAGAUUUGGAGAGAGACUUUGAAAGCAAGAUUGAUAUAGUUGUCUGGGAAAGGGAAAUCAAAGGAGGAAGAUGAAUUUAAGGAAGCAAAUUUUGCAAGGGAUGGGUAUUUUGAUGCAAAAUUGGUUAAAGAAGAGCAUUUGGUCACCAUUAACCUCAAGCACCUUAAUAAGUGUCCGUAGUUACCAUAUCAUGAAGUCUCCUCCUCUUGUUUCCCUUGACAUCCCUGACAUAUGGACUUCAAAUUCUACCUACUGGGAUCAUCCACCUAUACAAGAAUGCAGUAAGUUGAUGAAGUCUCUCCUUCUCCUCAUUCUCUUCAUAGGUUUUGCUUAUUUGCUAUGUGGUACUUCAUACUUCCCCACACUACAAUGCUUCUAGCCUUUCCUUUCCCUGUUUUAUGUAACUGGCACUGUCCAUAAUUGAUGUUUUCGAGUGAAGGAAAGAGAUCAACAUAAUAAUCGUUCUUCUACCCUCGUUACAUAAAAGCAUUAGCAAAGAGAAAAUUGCAUAUUUUGCCAUGUAUUUUUCCCAACUUUGUGCAUUGAUUUCUAAUAUGAUGUCCUUGUAAGUAAUUAGGGGAAACAUUUUGUGCUAUAACUUUGGUAAAUGAGUUGCUUAAAUUGAUUGUCAAAGUUGGCAUAGGUUGGACGAAUAUCCAUCAAACCAAUGAACUUUCAUCUUUUUUCCUUUUCUAAUCCAAUCUCCCCAUUGAACUCUCCUCGUCCUCCCCUCUGCCCCUUCCUCCGCCACCCCGGGGUUUAACUGUUGAACUUCAGAAGAAAGGGUUCAAUUGAGUCCGAAACCUAGCAGCUAUUAAUGACUUCAGGAAAAUGCUGAUAGAUUUUUCUUAUAUUUCUUUUUGCUAAAUUGACUUUUUGUUUUGUUUUGUGGCCUGUCAGAUGCCAUCUGAUUUUGUUUACUUGUGUGCCCUAUAUCUCUCCUAAAUGCAUUUUUUAUUAUAAUGACAAAUAUCUGGACAUCCCUUUGGAGCUGCUUGCAUCUUCAUUCCCAUUUGGAAUCCAUUCUAGAGAGAUUUGGAAAGAGGUUUCUAGACUUGAAGGAAAUCUAACUUCGAAUAGAGAUAGAAUAACAUCGAUAUAAAUCACUCUUUGUCUGCAAAGGAAGAUAAUUUCUCCGUGUCACUUAUAUAUAUAUGGUUAUUUACUGAAAGUUAGAGAUUAUUAUUUGCGACUUUUGUGCUAAGGAAGAAGAGUUUAAGUAUUAUGUGAUUGGAUGGUUUUAGUUUGGACCCUUUCCAUUGUAGAGGGCUUCAGAUCAAGAAUCUCCAUGGUUUCAAGUGUUGAGGGUAAGUGGGAUUGUAGAUAUGGUUGGUUACAGUUAGAUUUGUGGCUUCCUUUGAUGUUGGUCUUUGGAAAUCUAUUGUUAGAGGUGGAGGAUGUGAUACUUAUUGUAAAGUGGAAAGUUUAUUCCAUAAUCACAUCUCAAGUACAAAUAAGAGCUGAGCCUUUUAUAGACUAAGAUUCAUGCUAUAUAAUAAAGUAAAUCAAUCUAUCAAUAACUAGAACAUAUCACUCCACACAUUAUUCCUGUAAUCAUGCUCUUACAAUCAUGCUCCUGGAAUCCUCUAGAAUUCCUAACAAUUAUAUUCCCUUAGUAGUGGAGUGGUGGGCAUGGAACGAGGAUUCACUUUUGGCAGGAUAGGUGGUGACGUGGUGUUGUGAGGUGCCACUUUGUGAGAUGUUCAUGGAGUUAUUCAGUAUUGCCUUUAUUGCCCAGGGUGGUGUUGCUGUUUUGUAUCCUUGGUUGGGCCGGGCUGUAGGAUGUGGAAACCUGUGGUUCUGCUGAAACUUUCAGGAUGGGAAACUGGUCUGUUAAUACUUUUCCAGUUUGCUCUCUCAUGCUGUUUUGUCGAUGGGCAGAGGGUGUUAGGAACUAGAUGAGUUCCUAACAGUGAGAGAUAGAUAAUUUAGAGCAGAAAGAGACUGAAACAGAGUUUGGGGGAGAAAGAAAGGGUAGAAAUAUGGUAGAAUGGAGGUGAGGAAGAGAUAAGGGAGAAGAGUUCAAAGAGACUCUCUCAAAUAUUUCAUAUAAUUGUUCAUAAAGCUUGAAAUGAAAAUAACUCACCGCUUACAUUUUUAUACUAAGUUACUUGCAGGAAAAUAAAGCCUACAUCUACUUUACUUAUCCUACACCACCUGCACAUGGGCACAUGGGCAUGUGAGGUUGUUACUUGGAGAAUAUUCUAGAUAUUAAGACCUAACAGAAAAUGACUAGGAUUAUGCUUGACAAUUCCCUCCUCCUUUAAAAUCCAUGCCCUCAUGGAUACUAGGAUUAGUCACAUCUUUUCCAGUGUUUAUCUUUCUUUAUAAGCUAUCAGUUGCUUUCUUGUCUUUGCCCCUUUUGUAGCUAAUGUUGUAGUCAUAUCCAAGUAGCUUACUCAACCACCUUUGCUUCAAGCAUGAGACUACCUUUUGUUAAAAGAAAUAUUUGAGGGGCUGGUGAUCAAUCCUUGUCAAAAACUGCUUGAGCCCCAAAUAGGAAGACCAUCUCUUAACUGCUUCUACAACUGCCAUGUGUUCCUUCUCAUAAGUAGAGAGCCCUCGUCCAUUUGGCCCAAAAGCCUUACUGAAAUAAGCUAAUGGCCUUCCUCCUUGCAUUAGUAUAGCUCUAAUACCUCUCCCGGAAGCAUAUGUUUCAAUUUCAAAUUGUUUGUUGAAGUUUGGUAAUGCCAAAACUGGUGUAAUGGUUAAGAUUCUCUUUAAUUGAUCAAAUGCCUUCUCUGCUUCUUCUUUCCAACCAAAGUUGUCUUUUUGAAGUAAAGUGGUUAAGGGUUUUGCCAUGGUGCCAUAGUUCUAGAUAAUUUUUUUUAUAAUAGGCUGUCCAUCCAAGGUAUUCUCUUAAGCCCUUCAAAGUUGUAGGUCUGGGCCAGCUGAGAACACAAUCCACUUUUGAAAAAUCCAUGGCUACUCCUUAUGCUGAUAUGACAUUUCUAGGUAUUCCACUCUUUCCUUGGCAAUUUCACACUUGCUAAAUUUAGCAUACAACUGAUUCUCUUUCAUGACUUUAAAAACUGCUCUCAAGUGGAGAUAGUGAUCUUUCAAACUUUUAGAGUGUUAACGCCAGGAUCUUCUGCCACGUCCCAAUCACGUAAGACGUCCUGAUCCUGCACAGUAAACACGGUAAACACCACAAGCUUGACGGCGGUUCCGUCGGGGGAUAGCUCAGGCGUGAGAAUUAGUAUAUGUUCACAAGGUUAACAAUGGAGGAAUGUACUGUCUAGUGUCUAAAG
rnacentral:lncRNA from 1 species